CUUUUUGGCUUUAUAAAAAGUGGGUAGGUCGGACGUUCCUCCCUUUCUUUUGUUGCUGUGAGUACGAAGCAAGAAGCAGAAAAGAGAACAGAAGAAAAGGGAAAGAAAGGAAGAGGAAGAAGAAGAAAAGAAGGGGAAGGGAGCUGUUGUUGCUACUGCUGUCUACUGCUGCCUGCUACUGCUGUACACACCAGUGCAGCUGGUGGUACUGCAGCUGCUACUGUUGUACAGUCAUGUACACUUAUGUGGUUCUACCUCAUUCCAGCACUGGGACAUGGGUUGUACAGCUGAUGAUGACUCUCCUACAUAUCCAACACCCAAUUGGGAAGGAAACUAAAAAGCAAUUGGUGAGGACACGCAUGAUCGGGAAUUUAGCAAAAGAACAUUGGAUUCGGGAAAUCAGGCUCACCCCUCACUGAGCUGUGUAGCUCACCCCCAUUGAUAUCUCCUUUUUAGAUAUUGGAACUGGAGCUUUGGCACGGCAAAGACAGUCUAGAUAUGUAGGUGUAAUUGAUGGACUCUUGUCGGGACAUAUGAUUAAAGCAAUGUGUACAGGAUCUAUUAUUGUAAAAUUUUUUGUAAGGUUGUAAAUAUUUACACUGUAAUUAAAUUAUUUGAUAUUACAAUAGUCUGGUCACCACAUUUAUUAUGUUUUAUGCAUCUUAUAUGUGUACAUUGAUUUAUUAGUUGACUUGAGAGAUGGGUUUUGGUUACCGUA